UAAAAAAAAAUAGACCAUUUCAUUAAAAUUUUCAAUCAUAUGGAUUUGUAAGUUUUUUUUUGAAGAAAAAAAAAUAUAUCUUAAUAUAAAAGCAUAUUAUAAUAAUGUAUUAAGUUAAUAAACAUAAUUGAUAAUCUGUUAAAUUUUAUACUAUAUAAUAAUUUGAGUUAAUAAUUGAUAUGUGUAUGCCACAUUAUAUAAAAAUAUUAAAUAUAUAUAUUUAAUAUUUAAUAUUAUAAUGGAUACCAUAAAUGUUUUUAUAAAGUUAUAUAAUAUAUAAAUUGAUAUAUUUAUAAUAAAAAUAAUUUUAUAAGUGCAAAAUACCUUAUUUAUAAAACAUCAUAAGGUUUUAUUAAAAGUAAAUAGUAAUUUUAUUUGUUUUUAAGAAAAUUGAAAUAUAUUUUAUAUUUAUAUUUAUAGGAUUUUAUUAUAAUACGUACAAAGUACACACUUAAAUAUGAACACAUGUAUUUUUAGUUAUAAUAUGUUAUUAUUAUAAAUAAUUAAUGAUGUAUGUACGGAAUUUAUAUAUUUGUAAUAUAAAUUUAUAAAAGAAAACAAUAGUACUUUAGUUUUUCUUUUUGUAUAUGAAGAAUAUGAAUAUGUAAUAUGAGUUUUUCAUUUUAUAUAUAUAAAUUAUUUAUCACACAUAAAACAAAAAUAAGAAAUUAUUAUUAUUGUAUAUAUUUUAUAUAACAUUAAUAUAUAUUAUUAUGUUUUUUUUAAAUAUAUAUAUAUAUAUAUAUAUAUAUAUAUAUAUAUAUAUAUUUUUAUAGAUAGAGACGGAGGUAACAUAUAUAUUUAUGAUAUAAAAUUAUAAAAUUAUGAUAAUAAAUAUAUUUUUUAUCUAUGCAUAAUAUACUUAAAUAUAUAUUUUGAGUUCUUCAUUUUGUAUAUAUAUAUUAUUCAUAGCACAAAAAAUGUACUUAUUAUUUAAUAUUUUAUAUAACCUUAUAAUAACUAUAUUUGUUCUCUUUCUAUAAAUAUAUAUAUAUAUAUAUAUAUAUAUAUAUAUAUAUAUAUAAGAAAAAUAUAUUAAUAUAUAUUAUAAAAUUAUAAAAUAUUCAAUUAUAAUAACUUUUUUUUUUUUUUUUUAUUGUGUUGUCUAUGAAUAAUAUAUAUAAAUAUACAUUUUGAGUUCUUCAUUCUGUAUAUAUAUAUUAUUCUUAGUACAUACAACAAAAGUGAAGCAAAAAGUAAAUUAUUUUAAUUAUUUUUUUCGAAUGUAAAAGAUUAUUACAAAUAUAUAUGUUGCAAAUAUUAUAAGUUUAUAUUAGAAUGUGAAUAAUUUAAUGAUUAUAAUAUAUAAUAUAUAUAGU
rnacentral:precursor_RNA from 1 species